UAGGGAAUAUUGGUAAUGGGCGAAAGCCUGAAGCAGCAACGCCGCGUGCGCGAUGACGGCCUUCGGGUUGUAAAGCGCUUUUCGGGGAGAUGAGGAAGGACAGUAUCCCCGGAAUAAGGCUCGGCUAACUACGUGCCAGCAGCCGCGGUAACACGUAGGAGCCAAGCGUUAUCCGAAUUCACUGGGCGUAAAGCGCGUGUAGGCGGCUUGGUAAGUUGGAUGUGAAAGCUCCUGGCUCAACAGGGAGAGGACGUUCAAUACUGCCGGGCUAGAGGGCGACAGAGGGAGGUGGAAUUCCCGGUGUAGUGGUGAAAUGCGUAGAUAUCGGGAGGAACACCAGUGGCGAAAGCGGCCUCCUGGGUCGCACCUGACGCUCAGACGCGAAAGCUAGGGGAGCGAACGG
rnacentral:rRNA from 1 species